rnacentral:rRNA from 1 species
UUUUAAAUGGCCGCAGUAUUUUGACUGUGCAAAGGUAGCAUAAUCAUUAGUUUUUUAAUUAAAAGCUUGUAUGAAAGGCUGGACGAGGUAAAAUCUGUCUCUAUUUAAAUUAUUGUAGAAUUUAACUUUUAAGUUAAAAGGCUUAAAUAUUAUUAAAAGACGAGAAGACCCUAUAGAUCUUUAUAGUUUAUUAAAUUAAAUCAAUUUAGAAAUAUUAAUAUUUUAUUUAAUUAAGUUAUUUUAUUGGGGUAAUAAAAAGAUUGAAUUAAUUCUUUUUUAUAAUAAACAUUAAUUUAUGAAUAUUAAUGAUCCAGUUUUACUGAUUAUAAGAUUAAGUUACCUUAGGGAUAACAGCGUAAUUUUUUUAGAGAGUUCAUAUCGAUAAAAAAGUUUGCGACCUCGAUGUUGGAUUAAAGAUUAUUUUAGGUGUAGAAGCUUAAUAAUUUUGGUCUGUUCGACCAUUAAAUCUUUACAUGAUCUGAGUUCAGACCGGCGUAAGCCAGGUCGGUUUCUAUCUUUAAUAAAAUAAAAUAUUUUAGUACGAAAGGACCAAAUAUUUGAUAUAUUUAUAUUUAAUUUAUUGAAUAUUA